rnacentral:rRNA from 1 species
AGAACGAACGCUGGCGGCAUGCCUAAUACAUGCAAGUCGAACGAACUCUUCGGAGUUAGUGGCGCACGGGUGCGUAACGCGUGGGAAUCUGCCCCUUGGUUCGGAAUAACAGUUGGAAACGACUGCUAAUACCGGAUGAUGACGAAAGUCCAAAGAUUUAUCGCCAAGGGAUGAGCCCGCGUAGGAUUAGCUAGUUGGUGAGGUAAAGGCUCACCAAGGCAACGAUCCUUAGCUGGUCUGAGAGGAUGAUCAGCCACACUGGGACUGAGACACGGCCCAGACUCCUACGGGAGCAGCAGUAGGGAUAUUGGACAUGGG